AGAAUAAUAUUGCUGUUCCCGGGAUUCAGAUAAAGUUAAAAGUCAGUUAUUUUGUUUCUGUAAUUAAUUUUCUCAUGAAAACAAUGUUGUAGAUGGCAGCUCUCAAGAUCUGUCCGGAAAAGUCUAGAAGCCUCCAGAUUUCUAAUCAACAGACUAGCGCUCCUCCUCUGUAACUGAGGAACAAGAUGCCAAGGAGACAGGAGAAAGAAGAGAAUUCCCUUCAUGUCUCGGCCAUAAACCCUGAAACAGACUUGUCCAUGAGCCUUGUAAAAUAAGUUACAUUUCUGCAGAGGUGCUUGACGUUCACACCGUUUGGAUUGCUUUAUUAAAA
rnacentral:lncRNA from 10 species